rnacentral:tRNA from 1 species
GGCUUCGUAGCUCAGCUGGUAGAGCGCUUGUCGCGUUCAGGCAUGCUGUGUCUGUCGCUGACUCGAAACCAGCCGAAGCCU